UAAAUUUUCCUUCGGUACAAC
rnacentral:piRNA from 1 species